rnacentral:rRNA from 1 species
GAUAAACGUUGGCGGUGUGCUUUAUGCAUGCAAGUCGUACGAUUCUGCUUGCAGAAUAGUGGCGAACGGGUGAGUAACACGUAAGUAACCUGCCCUUAAGUGGGGGAUAACCCCGGGAAACUGGGGCUAAUACCGCAGUGGUGGUACGGCAUAAGCCGUAUCACUAAAGCCUUUGGGCGCUUGAGGAGGGGCUUGCGUUCGAUUAGCUUGUUGGUGAGGUAACGGCCCACCAAGGCGACGAUCGAUAGCUGGUCUGAGAGGAUGAUCAGCCACACUGGGACUGAGACACGGCCCAGACUCCUACGGGAGGCAGCAGCAAGGAAUAUUGCGCAAUGGGCGAAAGCCUGACGCAGCGACACCGCGUGGGGGAUGACGGCCUUCGGGUUGUAAACCCCUUUUCUCGGGGAAGAAAAAAAUGACGGUACCCGAGGAAUAAGUCCCGGCUAACUACGUGCCAGCAGCCGCGGUAAUACGUAGGGGGCAAACGUUAUCCGGAUUUACUGGGCGUAAAGAGCGCGUAGGCGGUCUGGCAAGUCGGAUGUAAAAUCUCCCGGCUCAACUGGGAGGGAUCAUUCGAUACUGCCAGACUAGAGGUCAGCAGAGGAAAGUGGAAUUCCCGGUGUAGUGGUGAUGUGCGUAGAUAUCGGGAGGAACACCAGUGGCGAAGGCGGCUUUCUGGGCUGCACCUGACGCUGAGGCGCGAAAGCGUGGGGAGCGAACAGGAUUAGAUACCCUGGUAGUCCACGCAGUAAACGAUGGACACUAGGUAUGGGGGGCAUCGACCCUCUCCGUGCCGUAGCUAACGCAUUAAGUGUCCCGCCUGGGGAGACGGUCGCAAGAUU